rnacentral:lncRNA from 1 species
AAAAUCGAAUCAAACAAUUUAAUUCGUGCAUGCUUACAAGAUCAAAUCUAGAAAUCAGCAUUGUAAGAACACAUAGAAUUAUGCCGGAAUCGUUUAAACAAAUAUGCUAAAACUUUAUGCAUGAUUAACUAUCAGAUCUGAAAGGUAAACACUCUAUUCUGAUUAAUCUCCGAAUAUCCAUCGAAUGGAUUCUAGAGAUAACUCCGUGAGGAGCCCCGAAGGAGGGUAAAACCUCGAAGAAUCGGACCUAGACCCUGACUCCAAAAUAAAAGAUUAAUAUAGAAUUAAUACCUUUUAUAAUGAAAGAAACUUGUGAAUCUGAUCCUUGACUUCGCAGCCACGCACAUGAAUGGCCACUACGAGAAGUACAUGCGAAGCCC